CACACACAUGUUUACAAUCUCAAAUCUCCACUUCUCUGAGCGGGUCUGGGCUGGGAUUCGGAGUCACCGCAAAUGAGAGAUUUUUCUUCCAGAUUUGGCCACAGUUAAGGCGAAGAGAGGAGGGAAGCGGGAGCACCUUGGACGGGGCGCCUCGGCCCUGUCCGCCGCGGCGGCGGGGGCUGAGGGGCUGAAGAGGAGAUGCCGAGGGAGCCAAGAGCUCUCCUUCUCCCUCCUAGCGGCAGAGCGAGCGACAAACUUGCCCCACGCCACACCAGACAGCCCAAACCCUCUGAGAACGGGGAGAAAAUCUCGUGUAUAGCUCCCGCGACUCCUCCCACUCACUCUGCGCGGCUCAGCAUCCACAAACUUCCCCGGGACUUCCUAUCCCUCGUGGAGAACACAAACGGCCCUUAGCCACGGCUCUAAGAAGAGCGUGACACGGUGCCGGCAAUUCAUAGGGAAAACCUGGGAUUUUCUGUUUAUUGAAAACACGACAGAAGGGGUGAAAGCAGCUGAUGCGCUGCGAGAUUUCAUCAUCUCGUGGCAGAUCGAGGGAGUCGGGCCCGACGCCCCCGGGCCGGGCCAGGAGGACUUCACCUAUCGACAGGACGCGGUUGGAGGGGAUGGGUCGGGAGCCGCAGGAAAAAAAAAAAAAAAAAGAAAGAAAGAAAAAUACUUUAAAUCGGCCGCGAUUAAAGAUGCAGCCGAGCCUCUUUGUGCGGUGAAGUGCUGCAGGUAAACGUUUCUAUCUGGCAGAAUUGUUUUGCCCGUUAAAAUAUAGAAAUAAAAUCAAAGCAUCACCAUCAAAACCGGUUCAGGUCUGAGUCGGCUUCGGUCAAGGCAACGCCUAUGGAAGCUCGGGCUCGCUGCAUCGAGGCAGGAGAUGCUCGAAUUUAUUUUCUUUUAAAAAGGUGUAAGGAAUGGGGGAUGGUGGCAGAGAAUAUUUCUCAGAACACCGGGAGAUACCUUUCUUGAAACAAAGGCAAAGGGGGAUAAUCUCAAUUGCAAAUCCAUCAGGCAGAGAGCAAAUAACAAUAUUUAUAGGAAGGCGUUCGAAAACAAGUAACAGCAGCGAACGCUAUCUGCAGUUGCUGCAGAGCAGCUUAAUAAAAAAUUAGCCUCACUGACAGUCUUGUCAACAUCUUAAGUAAAUUAUCAUAGCGAUGGUCUUUGGAGAAGAGAACCCACACUCCUCGCUAAAACACCUCCUAUCAUUAAUCUUAAACCACUUGAAGAUUAUGAUGGAAAGAAUGGGAUCAGUAACCAUUAUCAUCUCCAAUUGCUGUUAAAAACUCCGCUGCUUAUUUUUGCAACCAAAGCAAAUGUAACUAGGAAAUGCAGAAAAGGGAAGAAAGGCAGACACUGAGAGGCAGAACAAUUGAGGCGAAUCCCGUUGCAACCUCGAUGAUAAACACAUGGAAAAGGCUGUGACUGCUCUGCGGAUUGCUGGAAUUUGGGGAGACAUUAGGAAAAUAAACACAUCGAUGGCUCCGCACCAGCGGUACAUGCAGUGAAAGGUUACACAGAAACUUUGCUUUCCCAUGAGCUCCGGACAGCAAAAUGCUGCUUGAGGAGACCGCGAGCCGCUUUCCGGGCUGCUGCUAUAAUUAAGUUAGGUGUGGCGAUCCCAGAUCCGAGGGAGAAGGAAAUGAUUGAUACCGCCAGAACCCCCUUCCCUUACGCAGCCCCGAGCAGCGCCCGGCGCAGGCUGACAAACUGCUGCUCUGUCCAGAGAUCACACAGAGGGUCUGAUACUUUUUAUUUUCUUGCUUGCACCACGGGAGAACUUUCGUCUGAGAAAGGAACAAAAGAAGCCAGAAACAUGACAGAUUUCAUCAAGAGAGCUGUUCGCAGAUUAAAAGGCAGGGACCCAGGGAGACUUUGCAGAUGUUAAUACAGCCCAUUGGAUCAAACAAACAUUGAUCCAGACUCGCAUCUUCAAAAAUCAGGCAGAAGCUCACCAGUCAGUAAGGUCUUGCAAUAUGAAGAGAUUGUAAGGUACUCCAUACGUCUUAAUUGUGGGAUUAGACUGUUGUAGUGAACAUUAACAUGCUACUCACAUUAACAUUUUGGAAGGAAACUGUUAAUCCUUACAGUGCCAAAGAAAUUGUGGUCAAAGUUUUCUCUAGCAUUAAUGGAGAUCACCUGGGUAUGCCUUUUGGAAAACAGUGCAUUUUAGCUUUCUGAGAAGUUAGUUCACUAUCCACCUGAAAGAAGUUAGAGCAAAUAAACAAUGUUCCAGCUACCUUACUUAUUUACCUUACCUACUUGAAGAUAAAUCCAAGUUUCUCUAAAAUAUAAGGAUCUUACAUUGCAUAACCUUCUCAAUACAGGACAGAGUGAUGUAAGGCACCCUGGAUGAUGGGUAGAAGUAAGUGAAAGAAUAAUUGCAUUCUGAAAUGAACAAUAUGAGAAGCAUUUCUACGUUUUCCUCAGAAAUUUAAUAAAUUCCUUUCUGAUGGAGGAAAUCCAAUAUUCUAUACCAACUGUUGCAUCUACAUAUUUGUCUUUUGCAAGAAACUUUCAUUCAAGGUUAGCACCCUAUUUUACCAUUCUUCUACAAGUGAGUUAUUGUGUUCAUGCUUCAAGCAGCAGAAUCUUUCCAUUCUACUUCUAUUUAAGUAGUGCUACUUGUAUACACCAGUUAAGACAGGGCAAAAUUAUUGCACAGCAUACUUUGAGAAAAGGAGACUGUUUGCAUUACAGAACUGUUCCAUAUAUUGUCUUUGUAAACAACACUUCCUGAUUAAACCCAGGCCAAAAGAUGGCAUUUUCUGAGGUACUUGCUUGUUAACUCAGUUUCCCUGAAAAAAAAAAAACCCACCAAAAAACACCUUAUCCCCACUAGUUCACUCUCCAGACACUGUCGAUGCAAGGUUGCAGUUGCUUGACUCUACGCAUUUGAAGCUCCAGAUCAAAGCUGAGAGGAGUGACUGAGGUUAUUUCAAAUAUUUUGUUAGAUUCAUAGCAGCCCUCUCAAAGGAAUGUUUGGCUGCAAACUACCUCUUAUGCUGGGUGACAGAAAACAUGAGAAAAGCUUUUGAGUAGAGUUAGAUUGAGGUCCAGGCAGCCGUAAGUGCUGGUCAACUCAUGUUGCCACUAGGUGAUUAAUAGUUGUUUAUUUUCAGGGCUGGAAGUAACAGGCCAUCUUACGGCCAGUGCAGGAUGAUACCUGAAUAAUCUGUGAGUGCCUCAGAGGCUGCAGAAAUCCUCUCUCUUUGUGCAGCUGCUUUAUCUGUGACAAUGCUAGCCAGAGUGAUAGGACAUGCCAAAAGUGCACUUAAGAGGGGACAUGCAAGUGCUCUCACAGCAAUUUAUUUGUUUUAUAAUUACUGUAAAAUGGGAACAAACUAAUUUUAAAAGUAGUUCAGCAAAUUUUGAUAGCAAAAGUGUUGAUAAAUGAACGCACUAUAUACCUGUGUUUAGCACUUGUUGAAUAUAUAUCCUGGAACCAGUAUUAAAGUUCUCAAGAUAUUGCAAAAAAAUUAUUAGACAAUAAUAUACAAUAAAAAUAUACAUUGUUUGUUUUAUAUUGUGUGUAAUGGAUGAAUUAACAAAUGCAGGAUAAGUUGUUUGUGCGUCCAGCUUCCCAGAUCAGAGAAUUAGUCCAAGAAUGGAUAGUAAAUCACACUAUCUUCACACAAUGUUGUUUAGCAGUUUAACUGCCAAACACUCCAUUAUGCAUAAUUGACAGGCAAAAAUAUUUUGUGUGAUGCUGUACUUAAAUUUACUGCCUCUGAAAGUAUAAGUCACCUACUUGUAUUAAGCAGGGAACAGAUGAAAAAGAAAAUACUAUAUCUGCUUCCCAUUAUUAUAGUACCUCAUGUCCACCCAAAAGGACCUCUUCCAAUGCAGAAGAUAUUCUUUAGCAUCUUUGGAAUCUGCUGGCAAACUUUAAUUGUGCCUGGUGUCAACCCUCUUCCUUAUGAAUUUAUCACUUUUAAUGCCUGAGACCCUUCAGCUUGUAUCCAAGUUGGUACAUUAAACUCAGUGUACGUACAACCCCAGUUGGCUCUGCCCCAAUUUGUAUUUGCAAAUAACUUAAUUGUUAGUAAAAAUGUAUCCUAAGUUAAGUCUCAUGUAGCAUCUUGAAUAACCUGCAAAAUAUCCAGUCCCUCUCCAGAAAACAAAACUAUAAAAAAAAUUUCACAAGGAUUUAGAUGGAGAAUAUUCCAGAGACUUCAGGACAUAAGGCUUUUCGCAGAAUUAUGACAGUCAUUAUUAGCUCAAAAUGGUGCAUAAGCGGGGAUGUGCAAAGAAGGCCUCCUGUCCUUCCCACAAGGAGCAGCUUUUUUGUCUUCUUUCUCUUUAUACAUAGACUAUAUAUAUAUAUAAAGACAUACACACACACCAUACGUAUCUGCCAGCUAAACACAGCACUAUGUGCACCUUCUGAGAAAUUCACACUGUUGUUUAGAUUUAUGUACAAGUUACUUAUUUUUUCUUAGUAUAUACCAACACUAAUAACAAUUUCAUUUCAACUUGGCUUACUACACAAUGACCAUUUUUAACUCAACAUUAAAAUAGCAAAUUCUGUUCACAAGAAAGAUACACUAAUGCAAGUUACCAUGUAAAGGAGAUCAGAAGGAGGGAGAGAAAGAAUCCAAGGAAAAUACUAUCACUUGUGCAGGCUUAAAAGUAAUAGAUUUGUCAAGAUAGCCAAUGACAUACUACUAUCUAUGUCUAAUGAGAAUUCAGCCAGGAGUCUGCAACACAAUCACAUUAGUAUGAAUAUUUUCCCUCAAAGUCAUGUGCUGAAAAUAGUGGAAAACAAGUUGGACUCUAUUCCUGUGUUCUAUUUAUCUUUGCCAUGCAAUUACUAGAUUGAUCUUGUGUCAAGUCACUUACUCUGUAUAUGACAUUCGUAUGUUAGCUGUUCCCAAAGAUGGUGUGAAUCCCAAUAGCCACAAGGUCAUUGUGUUAAAUAUGGCAAAAUCCUUUUAGACAAGUUCAAAACAAAAUGACUGACUACAUUUUUCCCCCCCAAGGGUUAGUAUAAUAUAAACACCGGCACUAGUCAAUUGGAAGAUAUUGUAAAAAUGGUCGUAUUGAAAAUAGAGUUUAAUGGCAUUGGUGGGUAAGAAAUACAUAAAACUUAUGUGAAAUGUUGCAAUAUUAAUGUUACAUGCAAUACAAGAGUUUUUCUCAGUAAUUGCUGGUUUAGGUAUUUGGUAACUAUUACAUAUUUUUAACAUUUAUUGAAAACACACAUGCACAAAAAAAUCCAUUAAGCAUUGGAAACUUCUAGUACAGAAUAAUAUUUUCACCAUAACUAUUUAUCUUACACCUUUUGUUUUACUUUAAGUAUAUUAUAUUAAGGAAAAUUAUUGGUUGGCAGUCAUUUAAGGGCAUCAAAGAUUGCACUAGCAUUCUCUUUAAAUGAGAUAAAUAGAACAAAUAUGAAUGAUUGAGCUGCUAGUCCUCCCAUUAAGACAAAAGCAAAACUAAUAGAAAAGCAACAAGAAGAAAAGUAAUGAAAUACAGCUUUUCCCUCCAAAGUAAGUUGAGACUGCAAAUCAGCAGCUAGGAGCACCAAGAACAGCUGAACAUCAAUCAACAUUACCAGCCACUCUGAGAUUUGGCUAACUUCCACCAGGACACAGUUACCUUUUUUUUUCCUUCCAGUUCUUACAUUGCCUAAAAGCUCAGAGUAAGUACAUUAAAUGAUAAAAUUUUAUCUACUGUGGGCAGACAUUUCCCUCUCCCUUGCCAAUCAAAAAUGUUGAUAAUUUUUUUUGGUUACUUGUUUCCUUUUUAAAGUGCUUAUUUUCUGUUGUUCUCUCCAUGCAUUUGAUUGUGAUGUCAAAGCAUUCAAAACACAAUGCAGGACAGAGGUUAAACAUGGAUCCUAAAUUCCAUUGUUGCCAUUUUCUUACAGGAACCUUCUGAGAAAGCUGCUUCUCUCACAUACCCAUUUGUCACAGACAGCCACAAUGCAGCAUUAAAAGAGAUGCUGACAUAAGGUUUCCAUCUGGUCCAACCUGAUCACCAAUCACCGUGCAUGCUGAAGAUAGGACUGACACCUUCAACUUGAACUGAGUAAUGGAUGCCCAAUAUUGACAAUAAAAGACACUUAAGCUACUUUCCCUGUUUGCUCCCUCACUUUAUAGUGCUCUUACAACAGAGGGAGUUUUCCUGUCUGGUUAAGCUGGACUGCUGUUAGCUAUGAGGCAACCCCUGUCCCCAGAAAAGUAGUCAACAGAUAAGUGAAAAGGGAGAACAACCAUAAUAUCUCGUUAAAGUAGACAGUCAGUGAGCAUUUAGGCAAUUUCAACUGUAGCUUUCCUUCUACUUCUAGGAUCUCUCCAUAUCGACCCCUAACUUUUACCAGAGAUCUGAAAAAUCUCUUACCGCAACUUCAAGGCGCAGUAUUCUUUAUAAAGUAGCAUUUCUACUACUUUUAAACAACUGAAUUGACUUGGCCUGUGUUCAACAGACCAGUACACAUAACUAUAAGCAGAUACGAAUGGACUCAGUAAGCCUGGCAUCAUCUUCCUGAACAGAUGAAUCGACAGUGGGGUUUGGAGUUUCUCAGCACCAAGCCUGUACCACGUGAAAUUUCUUUACUGACAAAGUUAUUUCCACUAGGUUGCUAACUGGCAUACUGACCAAUUAUCACUUGAAAUAGUAUGGUACUGAUAGUAUUAUUAUUAGCACUACUAUAGUUAGAAAAUACAGCUACCCAAUAAAAACCACCACCAAAACAGCUACACCAUACUCCCUCCCUCCCCAUAAAAGCCCCCACUAGGAAGUAUCUGGCAGCAAGAUGUAUAAAUGGACAUAGACAUAUGUUUCUUUUCUGAAGCCUCUCUCCUUGGAAAAGAGAUCUUGCAUUCGCACACCAAUACCGUAUGUUUUGCCAUGGGGUAAAUAUGACUUAGAGACCUGCAUCUCUCUCCCUUUCCACAACUGCUAAAUCCCCAUUUAACAUUUUUUAAAAGCUAUUUCUAAAGUCAUACCAAUAGACUAAGCAUUAUUUUAGUGAAGUUCAAAGAGAAGAGAGUACAGCUUUGCCUGUCCUACCUGAUUUCACUAUGGCAACAGCAGAAUAACAGUAAAUUCGGGAGAUUAAAAGUGUUAUUUUUCCUAGUGCCGCUGGAAUUAUAAUGAUUCAAGAUUCAUUUGUAAUUUCUUGAUUACCUAUGGGCAAUUUAGAACCAUUCUUUAAUUAACAAGUCAGGCCACAUAUGAAAUGAUAGAAAUGGUAUAGAACAGUACAGAACAGCUUCUAUUUGCUUAAGUAAUGUUUCCACUUCAAUGUACUUAUUUGCUCUCAUUUUCAUAACACUGUCAGUAUUUAGUGCUGCGCAAAUUUAUGGAAAUCUGAAUUAAAGAGCUUUGUGGUACUGAGUGAGUCUUUUUUAAAAAAUACAUACUUAGACUGAAGUGACUUGACUUUCUGAAAUGAAAGAAAUAAUGGAGGAACCACUACACUUUCUUGUGCUGUACUGUGAAGUAACGUCUGUCAUUAACAUAUCACUGUCGGUAAAGUAAGCGGAUUGGUUUUAUCUCACCUUACUUUGCACAAGAGUCUGUCCCAUGCCUGUAAAUAAGGAUGGAUACAAUCUGAUAGAUUUGUAAACUUUUUCCAUGGGCAUUUAAGUACAACUGUGCAUCUGCAACGUACCUUGCAGGAGUUGGGAGACUGUAUAAUAUUUCCAUUAGAAAUAUUGAAAUUUUGAAAUUGCAUUUCAAUUUUUAGAAAACCAACACCCAAAUGAAAUGCUAUAUUUUGGUUGCUACCGUGUAAAUACAUAAUAAACAAAAUUUAAUACAACAGCAGAUGUGGUAAAGGAAAACAUGACUUGCUGAUAGCAAUGUGUCUGGCAGCCGUGACCAAUCACAGAAUGUUUGUUGUUUUAAAUAGUAAAGACCCAGAAAUCAAACCAAACACUUUUAACGAGUGUUCCAGUUAUCUACAUUUAUACUGCAGAUAACUAUUCUGACUUUUAUACAUUGUCUGCAAUUUAACAGUAACAUGCCAGAAGGAUGGCUACAGUACUUUUCGAACAUAUACAUAGAAAUAUGGACCACUAUAAAGAAAUGUUAUUUCCAUUUGCAUUCCCCACAGGAAGAAGGAAUCGAUCUGUGUAACACUUGAUCGUUAAAGGGAAGCAAAGCGACACAGCUAGGGAAAAUACAAAAUAAUCCUAUGAAGAGCUGGAAGAGAUAUUUUCAGGAAAAUUCAACAAUAUAGCAUUUGCUUAAAAGCUUACACAGUCCCCACCUGGAAUCUGUAGUCAGGGCAUUCAAGAAAGAAGUACUGUAAGUGCCACAUGCAGAUCAAGGCUACUGCAAUGUCCAGGGAAAUGAACAGCUAGCCAUAGGAAAGAUGAGGGGAAUUCUGCAUUUGCAGCAUAAGAGAGCCGAGAGGAGAAGCAGUGUAAUUGUUCACUGCUAGUGCACCCAAAGCAGGUCAGUCUCCCAGAUAGGGCAAUAGGACCAAAAUUCUUCAAAUGCUUUCAAAAUUGAACUCAAUAAGUGAAACAAAAGGGCUGUAAGACAUGGCAUUUGACAGCUAGGGACUAGACAGAGUGACAAAAUCUUAGGCAUCUAAAGAGAGUGCAUGAAACUAAUAUACAAAAUACUCUUCUCUUGAGCAAUUAGAAUUGAUAUCACCAUUGCUAACAAAAUUAAAUACAGAACCAAAUAUGUUUUCUUCACCCAAGUAACAAAGAUGAAUGCCUGUAUAAGAUGAUGUAUGUUUAUAAAACAGGAUACGAGGUAUUCCACAUGCAAGAGGCUAGGAGAUUUAAAUAAGCUAAAAUUAAAAAGAAUCUUCUUUUCAAAUGACCAGUAUGAACUUGAACCAUUGUUUAGUUGCUGUGAAAUCCCAGCCUACAGACAUAGCUUAAUAAUUUAGUUUUCAUAAAUAAUAAUGCACUGUCUGAUUUUUAUCAAAGGUAACAACUUCAACUUGCAAAGGUUCUUGAGGCUUGGAAGACAAAUACAUAAAGAUGAGCAAAAUUUUUGAAUUGAAGAAGAAAGUACAACCAUAAUAUUUCUCCUUUUGCUUUCACAAACACAUCAGGAACCUUAAGCUCUUCUGGCUCAGUAUUAUACAGAUUGCUCAUCUAAUCCUCAAGCCUACAACACCAACCAAAUGCACAUCGAAAGAAAUAGAAGCAACCACCAAAAUUCAGAGAUUUUAGUAAGAGCUACUUCAGUAGUUCCUUGUCCUAGUUUUCAAGGAAGGAAUAAGCAAAACCCACACCACUCACAUACUCUGCCAUUUAAAAAAAUACAUUUCAGGGUUCCUCUGAAAGUUCUGGUUCUGAUGUACACACAGUUCCUGGGAGCAGGUAGCCAUCUCCUUGCCCUGACCCACCUGAAGAAGUGAACUCCAUGUCAAUAUAGCACUUCACAAAGUACAGCAAUUGGCAUGUGAAAGCAUAAAGCUCUCAGUGGGGAAUUUUUACCAGCAAAACAACCUCUUACCAGAGGUAAGUGUGACAGGCAGACUGCCUAGUCAUUGGGUAUGAUGCAGGACCUGUCACAGACAACAAACCUGCCUGCAGUAAAAAUGAAUGCUGAAUAGGAAUGAAUGCUUUUGCUUACAAAUAGAGAUUAAUUUAACAGUAAAACUAAACAAAGUAAUAGCAACUGAAUCAAAUGUGACAGCAAAAAAACUCAUUUUAUGCACACACUUUAUUACAGUUCUUAAGUUUGUGUUUGCAUAGCUAGUGAAUUUAUGCUUCAGCAUGCCUAAAACUGAGUUACAGAGAAACAUGCAGUGGUAAUUUUCUUUACAGUCACCUACCAACUGGAUGAGUAAAAAAAAAGAGGGCAACUGUUCAGAAAACAAGUAGCAUACACUCAGCUUCUUAGUCUUCCCUGUCAAGUCCCAUAUGCAACAGAAAUGUUUACAGGAAGGAUGAGCCCUAAAACUUCCAGUAUUCAAACUCUGAAGAAAGAACCACCUCCAUCUACUUCCAGGUUCUGCUUCUAACAAGAAUCCUUUUCACGGAAUGUGCUUUUGGGAUAUUUAAGCAGCAACAAAAAACAAAAACAACAGAAGAAACAGGAGAGAAAAAGAAAAGAAAUAGAGAAUAUAUAGUAACAGUGGAAUUUGUGAAGAAAAAAGAUGCAGAAAGAUACAUGAAGCAGUGGUGUGGAACAUCAUACAAUAGUUAGGAUAAAGAGGAAUGGUUUUAAACUAAAGGAAAGGAGAUUUAGAUUAGAUAUCAGGGGAAGUUUUUUUACUGAGAGAGUGGUGAGGUGCCGGAACAGGCCCAGAGAGGUUGUGGAUGCCCUGUCCCUGGCCAGGUUGGAUGGGGCCUUGGGCAAUCUGAUUUGGUAUGCCAGCAACCCUGCCUGGAGCAGGGAGGUUGGAACUUGAUGAUCUUUCAGGUCACUUUCAACCCAAGCUGUUCUAUGAUUCUAUGAAUAGUUAAGAUAAAAAUCCCCAAAGCAUUAUGUUAGAAAAACAACUAAGCCACAGUUCUCAUUCAGCACUAACUGGCACUUGCUAACAAACUUUCAAUGAAGGCUAUCAAGAAAGAAGCAGAUGCUGAACAACAGCACCUAAGUGUUUGCCCAUUUCCAAAAAUAUAAAUAGUAUAAAAUAAGUUAUAAGAGGAGCAAGCAACUACCUUUUCUUAGUUUGUACACAGGACUAAGUAAAAUGUUAUCUAUACUUAGAUUUUUUCCGUAAAACCAAUUCAACAAUUUUACUGUAUUAUCAGGUGUAUUUAAAUAGAAAGCUCUUAAUUUACAAUAAAUAUUUUAGUUUUAACAUUACAGUACUUUUGAAAUCUGUUUAUCAUUUGCAAAUUCCAGUGCUUUGAGAUGAAUCUGAAAAAUUCAGCAAUGCUGGACUAACUUACAGGUAAAUGGAAUAGAAAGCUUUAACUGUUUACAUAUUUUUGUCAUUCUAAGUGAAUAAGUUUAAGAGUAAAUAAUUUUAAGAUACUGUCAGAAAGGUAAGAUUGCCGGUUUAGCUUUCCCAAUGACUAGAAAGUAGAACAGUCCGUGAAUUGUAAAAUGGAAUGCAAAUCUUUAAAAUAUUAAUUGGACGUAGAAAGUCAACUCGAUUAUUUUGUGAAAUUUCUGACUUUUUACUUUAUGUUAAAAAGGUCAUCUUAAAACACUGUCUUACUUGAAGAGUAGUUACUACAAUGCUACCUUUAGAAUAAGCAAAUGGUAAAUACUUGGCUCUCAGAAUAAUCUUAUGGGAAAUGUGUAUUGUGUUUACUGUUAUUUGAUGAUGAAAUGUCAGACUGAAAUAUUUCUAUAUUAAAUUACUCCAUUCAAUAAAAGCAUCAAUACA